CGUUAGCGGCGGACGGGUGAGUAACACGUGGGUAACCUACCUAUAAGACUGGGAUAACUUCGGGAAACCGGAGCUAAUACCGGAUAAUAUUUCGAACCGCAUGGUUCGAUAGUGAAAGAUGGUUUUGCUAUCACUUAUAGAUGGACCUGCGCCGUAUUAGCUAGUUGGUAAGGUAACGACUUACCAAGGCGACGAUACGUAGCCGACCUGAGAGGGUGAUCGGCCACACUGGAACUGAGACACGGUCCAGACUCCUACGGGAGGCAGCAGCC
rnacentral:rRNA from 1 species